UUCGAGCAAUAAGACAGAACUGAAAUAGAGAAAAGUUCACAUCACCAACUUGUACUUUGAGCCUCCAGUUCUCCUGAAAUUGACAACAUUUUUCCGCUAAAACUGACUAGAGGACCAAGAAAUCUCACUUUGCAAUUGGGACGCAUUAGAAGAUGGAAUGGAAUUAGUGAGUUCAAGCUUUAAGAGUAGACAAAGCUAGUGAUAAAGCUCCAUGGAAACUCUCCUCUCUGCUCAACUCUUUCUCCUGCAAUCUCUUUGAUCUACCUCAGGUUGUUUUUGUCCAUAAAUUGAGGGAAGCAAGUAUGGUUGCUGAAUCUUUAGCUAAACAGGGUCAAUCUCGUAAGCCUGAUUUUGUGGCCUUGUUUUAGAAUUGUUUUGGCUUCAGACUUUUUUCUUGUUCUACUAUUUUUUCAAUUUGGUUGGUUGGCUCCUCUUUUGCUUUGGUCUCUUGAUGUUCUCUGCUUUGGCCUUUUUGGAGUGAGGUGCUUGCUGUUUUACGUCUGGUUUUUUGGGGAAUGCCUGUUGGCAUGGGUUAGGUGGCAGCUCUCCUCACCUCCUGUAUGUUUCUUUUUUAAAAUAAAAUUUCUCGCUUAUAUAUAUAAAAACUAGUGAUAACUGUUGCUUGUGAAGCUUGAGCCAUGAAAUAUUUUGAAACAUCCUUCAAUUAAAGAUUUGACUAAAUGAACAAUUGAAUUCGCUUUGGGAUUAGAACCAUUAGAAGAUGGAAUGGGACUUUGUCCAUAGUGCAAAAGCGGCUUUCCUUGUUGCAGUUGUUGUAUACCUCAUUUGAUAUGAGAAGAAUGUGGAUUCAAUUUUUGCAGUAUUUGAG
rnacentral:misc_RNA from 1 species